UGGGUUGUGACCCAGUGGUAGAGCAUUUGCCUGGCAUGCAAGAGGUCCUGGGUUCAAUCCCCAGCACCAUUA
rnacentral:tRNA from 1 species